rnacentral:rRNA from 1 species
UACGGAGGAUCCGAGCGUUAUCCGGAUUUAUUGGGUUUAAAGGGUGCGUAGGCGGGGGAUUAAGUCAGCGGUGAAAGUUUGGCGCUCAACGUUAAAAUUGCCGUUGAUACUGGUUCCCUUGAGUGCGGUUGAGGUAGGCGGAAUGUGGUGUGUAGCGGUGAAAUGCUUAGAUAUGCCACAGAACACCGAUUGCGAAGGCAGCUUACUAAAGCGCAACUGACGCUGAUGCACGAAAGCGCGGGGAUCGAACAGG